GGUAGUGUGGCACAGUGGUUUGAGUGUUGGACUACAACUCUGGAGACCAUAGUUUGAAUCCUUGCUAAACCA